rnacentral:rRNA from 1 species
AGCGGCGAGCGAAGCGGGAAGAGCUCAAAUUUAUAAUCUGGCACCUUCGGUGUCCGAGUUGUAAUCUCUAGAAGUGUUUUCCGCGUUGGACCGCACACAAGUCUGUUGGAAUACAGCGGCAUAGUGGUGAGACCCCCGUAUAUGGUGCGGACGCCCAACGCUUUGUGAUACACUUUCGAAGAGUCGAGUUGUUUGGGAAUGCAGCUCAAAUUGGGUGGUAAAUUCCAUCUAAAGCUAAAUAUUGGCGAGAGACCGAUAGCGAACAAGUACCGUGAGGGAAAGAUGAAAAGCACUUUGGAAAGAGAGUUAACAGUACGUGAAAUUGUUGGAAGGGAAACGCUUGAAGUCAGACUUGCUUGCCGAGCAAUCGGUUUGCAGGCCAGCAUCAGUUUUCUGGGGUGGAUAAUGGUAGAGAGAAGGUAGCAGUUCCGGCUGUGUUAUAGCUCUCUGCUGGAUACACCUUGGGGGACUGAGGAACGCAGUGUGCCUUACGGCGGAUUUCUCGAGAUCUUCACACUUAGGAUGCUGGUGGAAUGGCUUUAAACGACCCGUCUUGAACC